GAUAUAGAAGACUUAGAUCACUAUGAGAUGAAAGAAGAGCCUACUAGUGAGAAGAAGUUGGAAGAUGAAGGAACUGAAAAAGAAAAUUGGGCAAUAUUAGAGAAAAUUAGGAAGACUGAAAGGCAAGGCCAUUUAAAUGCUGCAGUGUCUGGGUCAGUGCAAGCUUCAGAUAGACUUAAGAAAGAUUUCAGGGACUUAUACAGAUCACAGAGUUAUAAGACAGGUUGACCCUGAUAGUCCUUUACACAGUGAUCUUCAGAUCUUAAAAGAAGAAGAAGAGAUAGGAGACAUUUUGCUUAUGUUUUAAGGUAAGGAUAACUUUCCAUUUGAUCCUCCAUUUGUUUGAGUGGUGUUACCUGUUCUCUCAGGAUCGUAUGUAUUGGGUGGAGGAGCAUUAUGUAUGGAACCUCUCACAAAAUUGAGCUGAAGCAGUGCCUACUCGAUAGAAUUAGCCAUCAUACAAAUAAAACACACCUGAGACAAAGGCAAAGCCAGAGUGCAGCUUGGAGCAAAGAAG
rnacentral:lncRNA from 1 species